AUCUAUACUGUGAAACUGCGAAUGGCUCAUUAAAUCAGUUAUCGUUUAUUUGAUAGUACCUUACUACUUGGAUAACCGUGGUAAUUCUAGAGCUAAUACAUGCUAAAAACCCCGACUUCGGGAGGGGUGUAUUUAUUAGAUAAAAAACCAAUGCCCUUCGGGGCUCUUUGGUGAUUCAUGAUAACUUAACGAAUCGCAUGGCCUUGCGCCGGCGAUGGUUCAUUCAAAUUUCUGCCCUAUUAACUUUCGAUGGUAGGAUAGAGGCCUACCAUGGUAUCAAUGGGUAACGGGGAAUUAGGGUUCUAUUCCGGAGAGGGAGCCUGAGAAACGGCUACCACAUCCAAGGAAGGCAGCAGGCGCGCAAAUUACCCAAUCCCGACACGGGGAGGUAGUGACAAUAAAUACUGAUACAGGGCUCUUUUGGGUCUUGUAAUUGGAAUGAGUACAAUUUAAAUACCUUAACGAGGAACAAUUGGAGGGCAAGUCUGGUGCCAGCAGCCGCGGUAAUUCCAGCUCCAAUAGCGUAUAUUAAAGUUGUUGCAGUUAAAAAGCUCGUAGUUGAACCUUGGGCCUGGCUGGCCGGUCCGCCUCACCGCGUGUACUGGUCCGGCCGGGCCUUUCCUUCUGGGGAUCCGCAUGGCCUUCACUGGCUGUGUCGGGGAACCAGGACUUUUACUUUGAAAAAAUUAGAGUGUUCAAAGCAGGCCUUUGCUCGAAUACAUUAGCAUGGAAUAAUAGAAUAGGACGUGCGGUCCUAUUUUGUUGGUUUCUAGGACCGCCGUAAUGAUUAAUAGGGAUAGUCGGGGGCAUCAGUAUUCAAUUGUCAGAGGUGAAAUUCUUGGAUUUAUUGAAGACUAACUACUGCGAAAGCAUUUGCCAAGGAUGUUUUCAUUAAUCAGUGAACGAAAGUUAGGGGAUCGAAGACGAUCAGAUACCGUCGUAGUCUUAACCGUAAACUAUGCCGACUAGGGAUCGGGCGAUGUUAUUCUUUUGACUCGCUCGGCACCUUACGAGAAAUCAAAGUCUUUGG
rnacentral:rRNA from 1 species